rnacentral:rRNA from 1 species
UGGGAACGUACCCUUCAGUUCGGAACAACCCAGGGAAACUUGGGCUAAUGCCGAAUACGUCCGUAAGGAGAAAGAUUUAUCGCUGAAGGAUCGGCCCGCGUCUGAUUAGCUAGUUGGUGAGGUAACGGCUAACCAAGGCGACGAUCAGUAGCUGGUCUGAGAGGAUGAUCACGCCUCACGUGGGACUGAGACCGACCGGCCCAGACCUCCGUACGGGAGGCAG